GCUAUUUUGACAGAAAAAUGUGAUGAUUUUAGAAAUCAUUUAUAUAUAAUUUAUUUAUAUAUUUAGUA
rnacentral:tRNA from 1 species